GUAGCACCCGAGGAUUAUUUCUAAUACAAGAAUAUUCCCCGACUUGCUGGAGUUAUUUAUUUACGAUUGAUUUAACAUGGACUGAAACAGAUUAUCCGCAAUUAAAUUAAAUCGAAGAAAUUGGUACGACGUAUUCAACCCCCCCCCUUCUACGUCUGAUUGGACCUAACAAUUGGUAUCAGAGCUUGGCUGAUCGAUAUACAGAUCUGAGAUCCGUAACCAAUCUGAAAAGCUAGCUGUCCGUACAAUCGUAAUUUUAUCUGAUAACAAUGUCGACACACAAGUUAGGAAUCAAAGUACCUCCAUUUGACAAGGAUGACUACAACAACUGGAAGAUGAAGAUGUUGCUGUACAUCAGAGUUGCUAAUCCCAUGUUCAUUGGGAUUCUGGAAAAUGGUCCAUUUGUGCCUAUGAAGAUUAUUCCUGAA
rnacentral:lncRNA from 1 species